CGGAUACACAAACAAACACCUGUGUCCCGUUGCUAACUUACAGCUAGCUUAUGCUAACGUCUGUACAGUUGGUACUGUGGCUGUUUUGGGGGCGAACAGACAAACGAGCCCGCGGUCACAUUCACCGGAAUGAUGCUAGGCGAAAAGUAUGCAUCGCUGUGAGAAGGAAUAUGGCGUUUUAUAUCGGUUUUGUUUGUGUUUCUGCAAAUAGACGGUUGCAGGUGGACUGGUGUUGACAUGGUCCGUGGGAGCUGGACGUCCGCGGCUGUGUGGCGACUGCAGUGCUUUUAUUGUCUCCUAGCUGCAGAUAUGCAGCCUCAAUGGAUGGCAUCCGGGAAGAAGAGGAACCUUCUAGAGACCAAGUGAAGGAACAUCUUCUCUGUGCUGAAGCUCUGAGAUGAGUGCAGAGUGUCCGGACCACAACGGAGAAGUUCCUUCACUCCAUUCAUGCCUUUUUCAUACCGUACUCACUGUAUACUCAUAGUAUUGUAUGUCAUGA